rfam:Lepisosteus oculatus linkage group LG5, whole genome shotgun sequence.
GCCAGCAGCUGUAUCACCCUGCAGCUUUCAACUGGCUACCUACUGAAGCUCAGCAGGUGUGAGCCCGGUCCGUACCUGGAUGGGAGACCUCCUGGGAAGCUAUGGUUGCUUCUGGAA